ensembl:lncRNA
ACGUGGGCUAUCGUAGCUCAUCCACUGAUAAAGUUCCCUUUGUUGGACAUGCAGACUGCACUGCCUGCCAGUCAUUGCCAUGCCUGUAUGGGAGCUGUGAGCUCACAGCCCAAAGCAGUGAUGGAGCACCUGGAGAGGGGUGUAGCCCUGUGAGCACAGGUGGAAGCAGUUCCCAGGACCAGCUGAGGCUGAACCCAGCUCCACUCCUCCCUGGCCACAUUUAAGGGCUGGCAGGAAGAGAGGCAGCAUGUCUUUCUGGAGCCUGCUUGCUUAGGAGCAUGGGGUGAGCCAUGGAGUGGGUGAGCUGUGCCAUCUUUGGGUAUCCUGACUGCGUUUAAGGGCUGUAAGCCUGAAGGGCGGCAUCUCUCCUUGGGGACUGCUUCCCGUGGAAUGCAGGGAGGUCAGCGAUAUCCGGGGCCGUGUUAAUAGAGGAGCGGCCAGCAGGGAGAAGGAGCCGAUUGUCGGUGCAGCGUCAGGGCGAAGGUGGGGAGCUGCUGGGGGCGGCUGCGCCCGCGUUAAGGAGCCGUGCGAGGAGCAGCGACACCGACAGCGCGAGAUACGACGCGUCCAGCGGGAUCCGCUCGAGCAGCCCGAGGGGACACGGCGGCCGUCAGGACUCCCGGCACCGGGCCGGACAUGGGGGGUCAUGCACUUGGAUUUGCCCACGGCGCUGCCGCCCAGGCACGUGAUCUUCACGGCCUCCGCAGCGCCGCCCUCAACCGAGGCCUCAGCCCGGGGCUGCUCCGCUCCAACGCUGCGUCCCCGCUGCGCGAUGCAUUGCGUCAUCACCCGCGCGCCGUCGUACUCUGAUGACGUCAUCACAGCUGCGCCGUCUCGUGGGGUUGAAAGGCGGGGUCAGAGCUGGGGGCGGAGCCUGCGGAGUAGCGACCAAUGAGAGGGAGGGACGGGCGGUGGGCGGGGCUUGAGUGGAGGGGCGGGUCUAUGCUAAUCAGAGCCGCGGGGGUCGCCGGGAGCGCUCCGCCACGAUGAACCGGGGCCCGGCGGAGCCGCUGUCGGGGACGGAGCGGGAGCGGCACCGGCGGAGCGGGGUGGGAGCGGGGCUGGGGAGGAGGCGGAGGGGGCGGGGCGGGCGGCGGGUGAGUGACCAUGAGGUAUCGGGGGCGCGCGUGGGGCCGGGUGGUGUGCGGGCGGCGUUACAGGCAUCGCUUCUCGGCCUUUUGGCUAAGAUCAAGUGUAGUAUCUGUUCUUAUCAGUUUAAUAUCUGAUACGUCCUCGAUGAGAGGACUUUAUAUUAAACGGAUUUUUGGGUGCGGGAGUUGGACCCGGAGCUUGCUCCCUCCGCUCCGCGCAUCGUCCCGGUAUGGCAGUACUUCCGGGCACGGUGCACCUCCCCCGGGAGGAGCGUGGUGGUGAAAGGCAGAGCUGGGCCCAGUGCUGGGCGGGUGUUGAGGUGAUGGCCGGAUGAGGGAAAGGGAGGGCAGCUCAGUCAGUUCCACGUGGCGCCGAGUUGCUGCGAGUGUGGAUCUGCUGGGGGAGCGAGGCCCUGCACAGGGAUCUGGACAGGCUGCACAGCUGGGCUGAACCAACGGG